AAAAAAUUCAAUUAAAUGGCAAUUCAUAAAAUGAGUUAUUGAUCUGAAAAAAGGAAAACUAAUUAAUUCUGCAACAGACUAAUCUUUGUCUUAAUCUUUUCAAGAUGAAACUACUGAUUAAAUAAAUUUAUACCAGUGAUAUAUAUAUAUAUGUAUAUUAUGAGAAAAAAUUAUAUACACGGGGUUGUGCUAUUAUUAUGAUGAAUCUUUACUAAAAGGAAUUAUAAUACCGUACUAUUUCUAUUACAAUUAAUCAUUUUUACAUUUUCAAAAUGAUGGAAAAUAAUAAAACACCAAUAUACUUUGAUAUAGCAAAUGAAGCUGAUUCAUACAAAUAUUAAAUCAAAGUCUUUUUUGUUAACAGUUCAUUACUAUAUACAACUUUUGAGGCUUAUUUAAUAUUUGUCUCUCCAUUUUUGUACGUUUUGUAUACUAUUUCUCUUUAUACAAAAUACUGCCAUUAGAAAAUAUAAUAGUUGAAGUAGUAGAAGGCAAUAGGGUAUAGUUAAGUAAGAAAAACAUUCCAUACAUUUUUCAUCAAAUCUUAAUACAUAGUAUUAUACACAUAACAAAAAGAAAAUUAAUAACAAAUUAUCCUUGAAUUUUAGAUGACCAUUCAAUGUCGAAAGACUGAGAAAUGUGCUUUUUUGGAACUUCAAAUGUGCCAUACUAUAACUUAGAUAAAAUUUUAGAGAAAAAAAAACCUAAAUAUGUUUGUGUAAUUAAAAAUUUCUCUAUUUGCUGUUGAUUAUAAAAUUAUUAAACAAAAAAAACUAUAUAGCAUAUCUGUAAAUCCUGUUAAUUAUUAUUAAUAGCUUGAAAGUACAUCUUCUAUUAAGAUAAUUAAAUGUCAGCAUAUUAGUCCGAGUUAUUUAUGAGAGUUAAAAGUAAAAAUAUAGAAGAAAUAUUAAUAAUAUGAAAAAAAUUAAAUAAUUUAUAAAUUUCGAAUAUUUUUCAGUUAUUACAUCUAAGGUGGAGUUAAUUGUAUUUAGCAAUUAGAAAAGGAUUAUGUUAUAAAUUAAAAAGAAACAAUAUCUUUUUGCAUAAAUAUAUACAAUAAAAGCACACUUAUACAGCUGCUUGACCAAUUUUUACGUAGAGCGAAAGAUUUAUAUAUGAAUAGUUUAAUGAAUAUCUAUCAAUUCACUUCUAUAUUAUAUUUUACCUUAUGUAUAUGAAAGCAAGUCAUCUUAUACAGAUUUUACCAUAAGCCCAUUAUAUACAAAUAAAUAAAAACAUUUAUGUUGAUUAUCAACACAAUGUAAAAUAGACAAAAGGCAAUAAAACCUUUCUUAUGUCUAUAUGUUAAUUGGAAAAUAAUAUAUCAUCACUUUGUAAAACACAUCAUUUGUACACAUUUCACUGAUAUGUAUAGAUUAAAUAAUAAAUCAUUAACACUAUA
rnacentral:lncRNA from 1 species